rnacentral:rRNA from 1 species
CACGAGUUUGAUCCUGGCUCAGAUUGAACGCUGGCGGAAUGCUUUACACAUGCAAGUCGAACGGCAGAGGGGGCAACCCUUGAGAGUGGCGAACGGGUGAGUAAUAUAUCGGAACGUGCCCAGUCGUGGGGGAUAACGUAGCGAAAGUUACGCUAAUACCGCAUACGAUCUAAGGAUGAAAGCGGGGGACUCGCAAGAGCCUCGCGCGAUUGGAGCGGCCGAUAUCAGAUUAGGUAGUUGGUGGGGUAAAGGCUCACCAAGCCAACGAUCUGUAGCUGGUCUGAGAGGACGACCAGCCACACUGGAACUGAGACACGGUCCAGACUCCUACGGGAGGCAGCAGUGGGGAAUUUUGGACAAUGGACGCAAGUCUGAUCCAGCCAUUCCGCGUGCAGGAUGAAGGCCCUCGGGUUGUAAACUGCUUUUGUACGGAACGAAAAGGUUUCUAUUAAUACUAGGAGCUCAUGACGGUACCGUAAGAAUAAGCACCGGCUAACUACGUG